rnacentral:rRNA from 1 species
AUGGUGGAACUGGAGUCGCAGGACGCGGCGACGAUGAAUGUGGCCUCCGCGAAGCACGUCACGGCCACCGUGGCGCUGCGUGUCGGGGCCGCCGUCGCGUCGCUGGCCGCCGCCGUCCUCGUCGUCACCAACCGGCAGGAGCGCUGGGGGGUGGAGGUCAACUUCACCAUGUUCGACGUCUGGGUGGCAUUCGUGGCGACCAACUUCUUCUGCACAGCAUACUCGCUGCUGACGGCCAUCUUCGUCAAGAAGCUCAUCGGCAAGCGCUGGCUGCACACCGUGGACCAGCUGGUGGUGAACCUACAGACGGCGGCAACGGCGGGCGCAGGGGCCAUCGGGUCGGUGGCUAUGUGGGGGAACAAGACCAGCGGGUGGUACGCGGUGUGCCGCCUCUACCGGAGGUACUGCGACGUCGGCGCGGUCGCGCUCGCGCUCUCCUUUGCCGCCUUCCUCUCUCUCGGCAGUGCCUGCGCACUCUCCCGUUACCCCAGGGCGCCG